UCAAGGUAUACCCAUGCCAGAGUCAAUUGCAGCCUCGAACCAUUGCCCAGCCUCCUGACCUGUGAGCACUGAAGGCGCUGUGCAGUG
rnacentral:snoRNA from 1 species